UACAGAGGGUGCAAGCGUUAAUCGGAAUUACUGGGCGUAAAGCGUGCGUAGACGGUUAUGUAAGUCGGGUGUGAAAGCCCCGGGCUCAACCUGGGAAUUGCAUUCGAGACUGUGUAGCUAGGGUACGGAAGAGGGAAGCGGAAUUUCAGGUGUAGCGGUGAAAUGCGUAGAUAUCUGAAGGAACACCAGUGGCGAAAAGCGGCUUCCUGGUCCAGUACCGACGUUCAGGCACGAAAGCGUGGGGAGCAAACAGG
rnacentral:rRNA from 1 species